CCUACGGGAGGCUGCAGUGAGGAAUAUUGGUCAAUGGACGGAAGUCUGAACCAGCCAUGCCGCGUGCAGGAAGACGGCUCUAUGAUUUGUAAACUGCUUUUGUACAAGGGUAAACCUGAAUACGUGUAUUUAGCUGAAAGUACUAUAUGAAUAAGGAUCGGCUAACUCCGUGCCAGCAGCCGCGGUAAUACGGAGGAUCCAAGCGUUAUCCGGAUUUAUUGGGUUUAAAGGGUGCGUAGGCGGAUUGAUAAGUUAGAGGUGAAAUGUUCGAGCUUAACUAGGGAACUGCCUUUAAUACUGUUGGUCUAGAGUGUAUAUGCGGUAGGCGGAAUGUAUGGUGUAGCGGUGAAAUGCUUAGAGAUCACACAGAACACCGAGUGCGAAGGCAGCUUACCAAUCUAUAUCUGACAUUGAGGCACGAAAGCGUGGGGAGCAAACAGGAUUAGAUACCCGAGUAGUC
rnacentral:rRNA from 1 species